AAUAAUAAUAAUAAUAAUAAUGAUAACAAUAAUAAUAAUAAUAAUAAUUGAAAGCAUAUCAAACGAUCAUUUUUCAUUGGAAUAUUUUAUGUAUAAUAUAUGGAUUGUCUUUUAAAAAUUAAAUUUCUGAUAUAUGUUAUGCGAUUGUGUACUUGUCGAAGAUGAGAUAAUUUUACCCAAGAGAGCAGCCUCUAAGUCUCCUAGGAUUUCCGUUUCCUUCGGAUCGAUAAGAUUGAAGCGUUGAUUAAGGAGAGUGAGGUGAGCAAAUA